CCCGGAGGUGAUGUAGCAGCACAACAUGGUUUGUAGGGACACAGAAGAUACAGACCGUUCUGGGCUGCCUCAUUACCUUUU
ensembl:miRNA aca-mir-15b aca-mir-15b